CUGAGUAUAGCUCAGCCCGGUAGAGCACCUGUUUUGGGAGCAGGGGGCCGUAGGUUCGAAUCCUACUACUCAGA
rnacentral:tRNA from 1 species